ensembl:snRNA U2 U2 spliceosomal RNA
AUUGCUUCUCGGCCUUUUGGCUAAGAUCAAGUGUAGGAGUAAAUCAGAUAUGCCAAAUUUAUGUUUAUUCAAAGUAAUUUUAUUACUUUAAAAGACAAAGUCUCCCUAGGUUCAUGUAGGAACCUCUAGCUUU